AACAAGUCCGCUAUGAGCACCGUUUCCUGCCCUUCAGUGUUGUCAUGACACCUCCUCCAGUGCAUUAUGACCAGUUCCUUUCCAUGACUGACCUGUCCAAUUUCCCGCAGCCUGUGUCACCAGCCACACUCUACCAUGAUGCAAGAAAUCAUUUCUUCAAAGCACGCACUCUACUAGGACACCAUACAUGCACCCAGCAAUGAGGUCCAACAACUCCUGAAGGUGGUAAAGACCAACUUUGUGGUGAUGAAGCUCCUGGAAGGUGGGCACAAGGCGGAUGACCCAACUC